GUUAGGAAUAUUGGACAAUGGGCGCAAGCCUGAUCCAGCCAUGCCGCGUGAGUGAUGAAGGCCUUCGGGUUGUAAAGCUCUUUAGCCGAUGAUUAUAAUGACUGUAGUCGGAAAAUAAGCCCCGGCUAACUUCGUGCCAGCAGCCGCGGUAAUACGAAGGGGGCGAGCGUUAUUCGGAAUCACUGGGCGUAAAGCGUGCGUAGGCGGCUUUGCAAGUUAGGAGUGAAAGCACAGGGCUCAACCCUGGAAUUGCUCUCAAAACUGCAAGGCUCGAAUUCGGGAGAGGAUAGCGGAAUUGUCAGUGUAGCAGUGAAAUGCGUAGAUAUUGACAGGAACACCAGUGGCGUAAGCGGCUAUCUGGACCGAUAUUGACGCUGAGGCACGAAAGCGUGGGGAUCAAACAGGAUUAGAUACCCUUGUAGUCC
rnacentral:rRNA from 1 species